UCUAAGUCGGGUCCUCGGGUCAUGCUAUUUAUGCGACAGCAUUUUGAGCCAUUGAAAUUGGCUUCAAACGGCAUCAUUUCAUCUCUUUUAUUAUAAAAACAAAACCCUAAAAAAAAAGAAAACGAGGAAAAGAAUGAAACAACUUAGUUCCUAUUCAGCCGAUCUCACAAUUCCUGCAUUCGAUCGUUCCUACGCACUAUAAAUGGUGAUUGGCGACUAGCAAAGGUGCCAUGAGAGGCCAAAGCCCUGCUUUGGCUUCAAAAUCCCAUCUUUACUUCGACUGCAGCGAAGAAGAUGGGCUUCUAUCAUUAAGGUAAAUUCUUUUCUCUUCUCCUUCUUUAAACUCAUAUCAAAAUAAAAGAAAAUGAAUCAAAAACGAAAAAAAAAAAGAGGGAAAAAAUGGAAAUCACCUUUAAUCUUUCUAAAUAUUUUCUCAAGAGUAUGUAUGUGUUUUUUAUUUCUCUCAAAAGAUCCCCCCUUUUUACAGAUUACCUUCGGUUUUAUAGCCGAAUCUACAAAAUAAAAAUACAAUGGCCCUAGAUUUUCUGUUAUACAUUUGCUGUCAUUUGUUGGAUAUCUGCUGUGUGCUCUUUUUGUUGCAAGUGUGUACGACGUGGUGAUGCUGACAUAGCAAGGCCGUUCGUGGGGUGUGACGCGAAGUCUUCUAGAAGCUUCACUGUUUGGGGCUGCUGAUGGUGUUUGCGGUGCAUGGGAACUGCGGCCUGGUAGCCUAGGGUUUCCACUUGCUGAAAAUAGUUAAUGGGCUAUGUUUUUGGGUUAGGUUAUUGGGCUGUGUAAUGAGUUAAGAUUAGGUUUAAUUUAGGUUUGGAUUUGGGCUUCAAUUGUAUGCGGGUUGAAUGUAAAUUUGGACUAUGGACAUUUAUUGGAUUUUUAUUUUGUGAUUUUUGUUUUUUAAUUUCUAGUUUUUUUUAAAUUUUAACGGGCCCGGCCAAAAUGAGCCUAUUACAAUAUAUACACAAAAUCUUAUACUAAUUUAUUUGAAAAUGCC
rnacentral:lncRNA from 1 species